rnacentral:rRNA from 1 species
UACGUAGGGGGCGAGCGUUGUCCGGAUUUAUUGGGCGUAAAGAGCUCGUAGGCGGCUUAGCAAGUCGGGUGUGAAAACUCCAGGCUCAACCUGGAGACGCCACUCGAGACUGCUAUGGCUAGAGUCCGGUAGGGGACCACGGAAUUCCUGGUGUAGCGGUGGAAAUGCGCAGAUAUCAGGAGGAACACCGGUGGCGAAGGCGGGCUCUGGGCCGAUACUGACGCUGAGGAGCGAAAGCGUGGGGAGCGAACAGG